AUGGUGAAGCAACACCGCGUCCCUCACCGAGCUGCACGCCAUCUGGCUGGAAGCCAGAGCUCGAGCCCGACGCCUCCAGCGCCCCCGACGAUUUCCGCUGCCAAUCUUUUCGGAUGUAGUUGGCCAGCGGGCUCGAUUCUGAACGAGAUAAGCGAUGUGGGUAGCCGACGAGGAGACAAGAUUCGUCAGUGCCGGCGCAUUUGGAUGGCGGCGGCACCACUGCGUAAGAUGCCAAUAGCAGGGAUAGCGAGCUGGCGCAGUCCGAAGAGUGCAGUGAAGCCGGAUCCGCAAGCGUCCAGGAGGAUUAAAUCGAGCAAUAGGAGGAUGGGAGCUGAGGCCUGA
rnacentral:rRNA from 1 species